rnacentral:rRNA from 1 species
UACGUAGGGUGCGAGCGUUGUCCGGAAUUAUUGGGCGUAAAGAGCUCGUAGGCGGCUCGGUAAGUCGGGUGUGAAACCUCCAGGCUCAACCUGGAGACGCCACCUGAUACUGCUGUGGCUAGAGUCCGGUAGGGGAGUGUGGAACUCCUGGUGUAGCGGUGAAAUGCGCAGAUAUCAGGAAGAACACCAGCGGCGAAGGCGGCACUCUGGGCCGGAACUGACGCUGAGGAGCGAAAGCGUGGGUAGCAAACAGG